rnacentral:rRNA from 1 species
UACAGAGGUCCCAAGCGUUGUUCGGAUUUACUGGGCGUAAAGGGCGGGUAGGCGGCCACCGCAAGUCAGUUGUGAAAUCUCCGGGCUUAACCCGGAAAGGUCAACUGAUACUGCGGGGCUAGAGUGCAGAAGGGGCAACUGGAAUUCUCGGUGUAGCGGUGAAAUGCGUAGAUAUCGAGAGGAACACCUGCGGCGAAGGCGGGUUGCUGGGCUGACACUGACGCUGAACUGCGAAAGCUAGGGGAGCGAACGGG